rnacentral:rRNA from 1 species
GACGGAGGAUGCAAGUGUUAUCCGGAAUCACUGGGCGUAAAGCGUCUGUAGGUGGUUUAAUAAGUCAACUGUUAAAUCUUGAGGCUCAACCUCAAAAUCGCAGUCGAAACUAUUAGGCUAGAGUAUAGUAGGGUAAAGGGAAUUUCCAGUGGAGCGGUGAAAUGCGUAGAGAUUGGAAAGAACACCAACGGCGAAAGCACUCUGCUGGGCCGACACUGACACUGAGAGACGAAAGCUAGGGGAGCGAAUGGG